AUCGGUUUCAUAUGAGUACACUCCCUUGUCCCCAAGGUGACCCUGGACAAAGGGGUUUGCCAGGACCACCUGGUGAAAAAGGACCGAAAGGAUCUGUGGGUAGCCCUGGGACAGAUGGUGCUAAAGGCCCUAGAGGUGAGCAAGGAGCAACUGGACUGCCAGGAAUCAGAGGACCGCAGGGUCCGCUUGGGGAUGCUGGGAUGCCAGGUAAUACAAGUCACUUCACGAGUCUUUGUCGUUCAUACAUUUAUUAUUGACGACC
rnacentral:lncRNA from 1 species